rnacentral:rRNA from 1 species
AUUGAACGCUGGCGGCAGGCCUAACACAUGCAAGUCGAGCGGAUGAAGGGAGCUUGCUCCUGGAUUCAGCGGCGGACGGGUGAGUGAUGCCUAGGAAUCUGCCUGGUAGUGGGGGAUAACGUCCGGAAACGGGCGCUAAUACCGCAUACGUCCUGAGGGAGAAAGUGGGGGAUCUUCGGACCUCACGCUAUCAGAUGAGCCUAGGUCGGAUUAGCUAGUUGGUGGGGUAAAGGCCUACCAAGGCGACGAUCCGUAACUGGUCUGAGAGGAUGAUCAGUCACACUGGAACUGAGACACGGUCCAGACUCCUACGGGAGGCAGCAGUGGGGAAUAUUGGACAAAGGGCGAAAGCCUGAUCCAGCCAUGCCGCGUGUGUGAAGAAGGUCUUCGGAUUGUAAAGCCCUUUAAGUUGGGAGGAAGGGCAGUAAGUUAAGACCUUGCUGUUUUGACGUUACCAACAGAAUAAGCACCGGCUAACUUCGUG